rnacentral:rRNA from 1 species
UACGAAGGGGGCUAGCGUUGCUCGGAAUCACUGGGCGUAAAGGGCGUGUAGGCGGUUUGUUAAGUCAUGUGUGAAAUCCCUCGGCUCAACCGGGGAACGACGCAUGAAACUGGCAAGCUAGAGUACCAAAGAGGGGGGUGGAAUUCCCGGUGUAGCGGUGAAAUGCGCAGAUAUCAGGAGGAACACCAAUUGCGAAGGCAGCUCGCUGGGACGUUACUGACGCUGAGACGCGAAAGCGUGGGGAGCAAACAGG